UACGGAGGGAGCUAGCGUUAUUCGGAAUUACUGGGCGUAAAGCGCACGUAGGCGGCUUUGUAAGUAAGAGGUGAAAGCCCAGAGCUCAACUCUGGAAUUGCCUUUUAGACUGCAUCGCUUGAAUCAUGGAGAGGUCAGUGGAAUUCCGAGCGUAGAGGUGAAAUUCGUAGAUAUUCGGAAGAACACCAGUGGCGAAGGCGGCUGACUGGACAUGUAUUGACGCUGAGGUGCGAAAGCGUGGGGAGCAAACAGG
rnacentral:rRNA from 1 species